CACACACACACACAGGGCUCUAUUUUCGUCUCGCGUUAAGCCAGGGCAAUUGUCAAACGCACACUCGUUUGCAAUUUCGACCUGUUAAAGUCGGCACUCUUCUGUCUUCUGUGACCUCGUUUGCCCUGAUGUGGGAGGGGGGCCAGUUUCAGGCAGCGUCGGUGGGGAUAUUUAAGACCAAGUAAAAUUUAGUCUUAGCAGUAACUUGGUUGGACAUGGUAUGGAUUUUGACAGCUGAAGCGCACAGAAACCACUUUGAAAAAUAUAUUUUAUUUUUGAUGUAUUCUUUUUCAUAUCCCCACCUACGCUGCCUGAAACUUCUCAUUUACAACUGCGACCUGGCCAAGAUGAAGAAAAGCAGUGUGACAAAAACAACAACACAGACUUACACAUAAACAAAGGUUUGACUUCCUUCCAUCCAGGAAGAGACGAGGAACCACAGCUGGGGCGCUAAGGGAUGGCAGAGGGCAAGGUGGAGAGAAUUACGGAACAACGUUGCUGACGAGUACGAGGGAAUCCUCAUCUUCACCUUGUAAAGGAGAGGUGACGACAUGCAUAUCUGUGUGUCUAGCAGAUAUCUCAGGAUGGAUGUCGUCCCACCACCACAAGCUCAACCUCGACAAGACAGAGCUGCUCUUCCAUCUGGGGAAGGCCUGCCCGUUCCAAGACCUCUCCAUCACAUUUGACAACUUCGCGGUGUCCCCUUCCCAGAGUGUUCCCCUCCCACAGUGGUAAAAGUAUGGUAAACUGAGAGAGAGUAUAGCACUCAACAAAUCAUCCUAUAGCACUCAUCCAGCCCUCUCUCCUUACUCAGGUAUCCACCAACCAUACAUAUUUUAUUGACGCCAGAGCUGCUUAGUGUGGUCAGACACAGGUGCAGGGAAAUGGCUGCCUCUCACCAGGCUGUGAGAAGUGUCAGGAGAAAUGAAGGGAACGGCAGAGACUGGCAACCCGAGCUGUCGAGUCGGGCAGGAAAAGUAACUUUUCUCCACUGCUUUCAGAUGAGGGAUGGACAGGAAAGAGAGAGAGAGAGACAGAGAGAGAGAGAGAGAGAGACAGAGAGAGAGAGAGAGAGAGAGAGAGAGGAGAGAGAGAGAGAGACAGAGAGAGAGAGAGACAGAGAGAGAGAGAGAGAGAGAGAGAGAGAGAGAGAGAGAGAGACAGAGAGAGAGAGAGAGAGACAGAGAGAGAGAGAGAGGGGAGAGAGAGAGAGACAGAGAGAGAGAGAGACAGAGAGAGAGAGAGAGAGACAGAGAGAGAGAGAGAAAGAGAGAGAGAGAGAGAGAGAGUCCCAAGUCUCAGCCAGGUCACACUUGGCCGGCCGUGCCUCUGUUACCCAAUCCAUCACACUCCCAGAGGAGGAUGACAGGAUGACAGGUCCUUGAGCUGGGAGAGCCAGCAACAGGUGCACACAGUUCUCUGUUCCCCAGGAAACUGUGGUCUAUGUUUUAUUAUUUUAUUUUUUGAAAAAAAAAAAUGGUAGCAAGGGGUUGUGGAGUGAAGUGUGUGUGUAUCUGUGAGUGUGUGUGUGUGUUGUGUGUGAGAUAAAUGGUUGCUGAUAUUGGAUAUUACUACAUUCCCCAUAUAUCUGUGCCAGAAUCCUUAUGAUGGAUCGGAACCAAUGAAUUGUUAGACGAUGACUUGACAGAAUGGAUGUAAGACAGUGAAAGGUUUCAGAUACUGUUUCAGAAUUUGACUGGGGUCUGCUUACUCAUGGGCCUUCACACUAUGCACAAUAGUGUUAGUGAACUUUCCAUCUUCAUAACAAAGUCACAUCAAUGUCAUACGGGGUGGCAGGUAGCCUCGCGCUUAGUGCGUUGGACUAGUAAGCGCAAGGUUGCAAGAUCAAAUCCCUGCGCUGACAAGGUAAAAAUCUAUCAUUCUGCCCCUGAACAAGGCAGUUAAUCUGCUGUUCCUAGGCCGUCAUUGAAAAUAAGAAUGUGUUGUUAAACUGACUUGCCUGGUUAAAUAACGAUUAAAAGAAAAUGGUUAUCAUGUGUCUACUUAACUUGAAUACAUCCCUGCUUCACAUGGAGGAAGACUUCCUGUCCUGGC
ensembl:lncRNA